CAGAGUUCAUGCCCGAAAGGGUAGACCUCCCACCCUUGUGUAUUAUUACUUUGUUGCUUUGGCGCGCUGCCUUCGGGGCCUUGCAUGCUCGCCAGAGGAUAUCAAAACUCUUUCUAUUAAUGUCGUCUGAGUACUAUAUAAUAGUUAA
rnacentral:rRNA from 1 species